rnacentral:lncRNA from 1 species
AUGGACGGCGCCGUGCAACCGCAGCCGCCCACCCCGCCCGGCCCGGCCCGGCCCGGCCAGGCCCUGCCCACCCCCACGGCGGCGCUGCCGGGCGGUGCGGAGCGUGCGCACUGCGCUCCCGCGUCCCCCUCAGCCCGGCCGGCGGAGUCGCGCGUCCCGGCGGCGCUGAAGAUGGCGGAGGGCGGCGGAGGCGCGGCCCUCCCCUCCUGCUCUUCCUCUUCUUCCUCCUCCUCCUUGAAGGGGCUGCGGGAGCAGAUGGUUGCUGCAGCCCAAGCCAUAGCAGAUGAAAGAAGAAGCCAAAGUGGUGUCAGCCCUAUUGCAGUCCAGACCUCAAUCAACAUAAAGACAGCAACUAAACCAGGUAUAAUUAUUGGUUGUUGUUCUUAACAAAGUUUUGGGUUCAUAGGGAGAGUUACUGGGUGGGAGAAGGAGGGGAACUCAAAACUUCCUUUAAAAGAAGUUUGGUGCUGUUUCCUUGAGAGAUCAGAGCAUGAAAUCCCUAGUUAGAUGGGUCACAGUCAUUGAAGGGAUGGUUCUGAUGACAGCUUUUGGUUUAUGGCUCUCAGAGUUCGACUGGCAAAGUUGCUUAUCAUUCCAGCAGGGUGUCACAAUGAAGAUGAAUGCAUUCCUGGUGUUCUGGGGUGCUUACCAGUUCACUUGUGGCUGAAAUUCAAGUGUUUCUAGGUACAAAGACCGGGGAAGUCUUGGUUCUGCUUAGCCUGCAAAGUAGCUGUCUUGCAGCACUUUGAAGUUGGCAUGAUGCCCAGAUAGAAUUUUCCUAGAUUCCUGUAUUUCUUGACCAUAGGAAUUAAUACGUUCAAGAGCAAGGAUCAGAGCUGAAUUUGGAAUAAGUGUAUGUUCUGACAGCACGUCUGAUGUCUGUUCAGGCUUUCUAUUGACUGGACACAGCCGCCUUUUAAUCUGCUGUACACUUUCUGCUACGCUCAUUAAAAAUAUAGGAUUGACUGGAGUAAGGGAAUGGAAAGAGGGGAAGGGAGGGUAUUCAGCUUCUUCUGAAUUUUCCAUUUGAGCAUUUUAAUCUCUGUAUAGAGUGUGCAGGG